UACGGGGGGGGCAAGCGUUGUUCGGAUUCACUGGGCGUAAAGGGUGCGUAGGUGGUGAGGUAAGUCGGAUGUGAAAGCUCCGAGCUCAACUCGGAAAUGGCAUUGGAAACUACCUUGCUCGAGGGUUUGAGGGGGGACUGGAAUACUUGGUGUAGCAGUGAAAUGCGUAGAUAUCAAGUAGAACACCAGUGGCGAAGGCGAGUCCCUGGAGAACUCCUGACACUGAGGCACGAAAGCUAGGGGAGCAAACAGG
rnacentral:rRNA from 1 species